CAUUUUUCAAGAUGAGUUUCAGGAUUGCUUCUCUCUGUUUUAAAGCCUAAAAGCAGGAUAAUUUCCAGUUAGCAUUUUUAUUUUUUAUUUUUUUAAAAAGAUCAAGUAGUGUUCCUAAUAUUUUGUCCCUUCUAAAGUCUCUCUCAAUACUUAUAAGGAGAUGACAGAAACUUUGAAGAGGUCAAAGCAACUAGAUUCAAGGCUCUAGAGUAAUUAUCUCUGGUUCUCCUACUGAACUGUAUCUUCUUACUCUCAUCCCCAGUGCCUAGUACAAUGUUUGGGAAAUAACACACCUUUAAUCUUUAAUGAGUAAAUGAAUAUCUAUGACUAUAAUGUCUUCCCUCUAUAGUUCAGCAAUCUUCAUUUUUUUUCCCUUCAUGCAGGAAACUCAUGAAAACUCACCAUAAAAUUUAUUAUCAGUAAUUCAAAGAGAUGGCAACAGUAACUUCUCAGUUCCUCCAUUUCCUUCUCCUUCUUUGACCACUAAUUUAUAUUAGUGAAUUUUAAUUUAGUGCUGAUGAUAUAUUUGUUUACAUGUCUGUAUGCUUUUCCCCCAGUGACAAUUCCUAUUUUUACACCAUACAAUAAAUACAAACUACAUUUAGCUCCUUUUAUAGAAUCCCUCAGCUAUAUAGUCAAUAUAGAUGCUUCUUAAAACUAUCAUGGCUGAAUUUAUCCCUAUUCCCACAAACAUCGACAAAGCAGAGCUGGUUACAAUGACUACCAAAUCAAAUUACUUGAAAAACAAACCAAACUCUGCUCUUUCUGUAAUUUAAGUGUGUCAAGUAGGAAGGUUAAUUUGAUAUGUCAUGUGAUCACCAACAAAUACUCUGUUAAACAUUUCACUUGGAGAAAAGUUUUAAGAUUAACCAUACACUUUACAUCAUAUUACAUAAGAAAAAAAACUAACCUAUAAAGCGUAUUCACUAAAAUGGAAUAAAAUGGAGGUUACAAAUUUCCAUUUCUAUGUUAACACUAUACAAAUUUAUAAUAAACUUGAUAAAACCUGUUACAACCCAUUUUGAUUACUCACACGACAUAUUAAAUUUACAACUUUAAUUGUGGCUACUUUCCAUGCUACUGUAUCCUAUGUUCUAUUGUACUGUACAUCAAAAACCAUAGCUGGCCAGCCACAGUGGCUCAUGCCAGUAAUCCUAACACUUUGGGAGGCAAAGGUAGGAGGGUCCCUUGAGGCCAGGAGUUGAGACUAGCCUGGGCAACAUAGUGAGACCCGUCUGUAAAAAAAUUCAAAAAUUAGCCAAACGUGGUGGUGCAUGCCUAUAGUCCUAACUACUCAGGAGGCUCAGGUGGAAAGACUGUUUGAGCCCAAGAGUCAAGGCUGCAGUGGGCUAUAAUUUAUAAUUGUACGGCUGACAGAGCAAGACUCUGUCUUUAAAAAAAGAAUAAAAUUUAAAAAACCCUUAAUUGUCCAUUGUACUAACUAUUGGAUUAGUGAUAGAGAUUCUAUAAAUUAUCUUCAGAACCAAUUAGGUAAACAAAUUUUUAAAAAAGUGUUCUGAUGUCUUGCUUACAAAAUCAAAACUCUUGUGCAAAGCAUAUAAAGUUCACCUAAACCCAGAAGCAGUCUACCUUUUCAGCCUCCUCUCCAUCUAUAUUCCUUGGUGCUGCGCUCACCAAACUACCCUCAGAACUCACCAUUAAACAGUGCUUCCACAAAUUCUUGACUUUGUUCAUUCUGGCAGGAAAGCCCUUCCUUGUCUCAUUUGCCUGUCAAAUUCCUAUCAUCCUUCAAGGUCCAGCUGGAUUCUGUAAAUUCCAUGGACUUCCCUGACAGAAUAUUAGUUUUCAUCAACAUCUCAGGCUCUCAUAGCUCUUUAAACAUACCUUCAUAAAGCAUAUUUUACAUUAUUUAUUUCUGUGUCUGCCUCUCCAAAACAGAAUUCUUCAAGGACCAGGCCCAUGUCCCAUCCACCAGAUCCUAGCAGGUCUGUGACACAUAUUAAUGCUCAAUAAAUAUUAGUCAUACUAGGCUGGGUGCAGUGACUCAUGCCUGUAAUCCCACUUUUGGAGGCUGAGGCAGGCAUAUCAUCUGAGGUCAGGAGUUCGAGACCAGCCUGGCCAACAUGGUGAAACCCCGUCUCUACUAAUAAUACAAAAAUUAGCAGGGCAUGGUGGUGGGCGCCUGUAAUCCCAACUUAUUGGGAGGCUGAGGCGGGCUCGCUUUAACCUGGGAAGCAGAGAUUGCAGUGAGCCAAGAUCGCGUCACUGCACUCCAGCCUGGGUGACAGGCAAGACUCUGUCUCAAAGAAAAAAAAAAAAUCAGUCAUACUAAAUAAAUUUUAUAGUCUCCUAAAUUAAGUUUAAAAAUCUUUUCAUUGAUUCAUUGGGUAAAUUUUCUAAGGAUGUGCACACACUUAACCACUUUAUUACAGUUGUAGCUAUAGUAAAGAGUUGAUCAGAGUAAUUUUAUAGAGUCCAUAACCAUCAAUCUUUCAGAGAUCAUGUUUACUACCAAAAACCAAUCUGAUAAAUUACAGAAUAUAAAUGGGACAAAUGAUUUUUAGCCAGAUUAUAAAUGGAAUUAGAGUAAGUUCCUCUAAAUGGCAACACAUGUAACAUGCUGAUUGUAUGGAACAUAUUUUCUACUAGUAAAACCUGUUUUUUCUUUCCUUUGCAGUCUGAAGGCAGACAGAAUUCAAGAUUUGAAGAUCUGUGCCAAAAUUAUAGUGUACUGGAUGUAGAGAGCAGUCUUCAGCCUGAGACCUAUCCCUGGGUGCUCUUGAAUGAAUGUUUCUGAUUGGAGAUUGUGACAUCAAAAUAGAAGAAAAACUUUCAGGACUCACAGAGAGCUGGAACAUCCAUGAAUAUCAAACAGAACAGGAAUUAACUGCAUGGACUGAAUUAACAGAAGACUGAAGUUAUCUUUUUGACUUUUUGCUUAAAAUGUUGCUGAUCCUUUGUUUUGUUUUUUUCAAAGAAACUUUUCUUUUGCACUAUUGACAGCUUCUAACAAUUCAGUAGACUCCUAUGAACAAAAUUUGGAGCAUAUUUGUUUCUCUCUACCUGAUUUCUCUAGAAUUUGGAAACUAUUUGUGAGUAUUCUUAACUUAUGGCAAUACAGUUAUUUGCGUAAGUGCAAUAAGAAUCUGUUUUCAUUUGUAACAGGACACAAUUGGAGAAACUAGUUAUUUUACCAAGGCUUUGACUGGAAUGGUGUGCUUUCCUUUAAGGAAUCAAACUUGACUUACAGAGCCAAUGAAAGCCCCUUGGGAAAACUGGCUUCACACCUUAUCUACACAGUCCCUGUACAGGGUUUCUGACCUGUUGUUAAGUAAAGAAUGUCACUUUCUGACAGGCCCAGGAGCCCCAAGUUUAUCUUGGAAUCAAGAGGAGAGGAAUUCACCCAAUUCACAGGUAUUUGAUGGUACAAAUCCAUGGCUGGGCUUGGCUUUAAAAAAGUCUUACCUGAGAUUAUUUCUAUGGAACAAAGUUCUAUCAAAGCCAAUUUAAAAGCCUAUGUAGGCAGGGCGCAGUGGCUCAUGCCUGUAAUCCCAGCACUUUGGGAGGCCAGGGCAGGCAGAUCACCCCCGAGAUCCCGCCACCGCACUCCAGCCUGGGUGACAGAGCAAGACUAUGUCACGAAAAAAAAAAAAAGCCUAUGUAACAAAAUAAUUAUUCUUGCUGCACUAUAUACAAACAAUCUGGCCAAUUAGAAGAAAGCAAAUCAGUCCUACCAUAAUUUGUCUUUAGUGAAAAUGAGAAACUGGAGACAGAGAAAUUAUGUUUCAAAAACUAUAGUAUACCUAUUGUUAGAUUCUAGUCCUGCCUAAUAUUUUUCAAUUUUUAUUAUUUUCUAUAGUUUAGACAGAAUUCAAACUUUUCUUGGCUACAAGUCUUCAAAAUAAUGUUUUCAAUUUAUUUCCCUUCUUUUUUCCCCCAUUUUUCCUAAUUUGGAGUCACUGAAAACUAAGCUGUGCUUUCUUAAUGCCCUAAGAACUGAAGCUAGACACUUAAACUUCAGAAGAAAAGAACAGCAACUUAGUUACAUACAUAAGCCACUUUAAUACCUGCCUACUGACAUAUGGACUUCAGGUAAUGUGGCCUAUAUAAAUUUUCCAGGAUUUGUUUUUUGUUUUUUGUUGUUUUUCUCCCUUCCUCCCCGUUUUCUCUUCACAAGACAUGAGACUUCACAACCAGCUAAAAUUGAGCUUUCCUAAUAACUCAGGACCUAUCCGUCAAGGAAUAAACCAUCCUAGCCAUGAGAGAUCAGACGAAACUUGAGACCAGAGACUCAUUUUCUUCUAAAUAUGCUUUCUCCAAAAGAUUUUUAAAAAGGGAGGAAAUAUGAAAGGAAAAUAAAUCUUGGAGACCCCAAAUCACUAAAGGGAAAAGUCAAGCUGGGAAUUGCUUAGGGCAAAUCUGCCUUCCAUUCUAUUCAAAGUCACCCCUCUGCUGAGAUAAACGCGUAUCUGCUUGCCUCUUUUGGAGAGGCUAAUCAGAAACUCAAAAGAAUGCAACCAUUGGUCUCUUAUCUACUUAUGACCUGGAAGUCUCCUCCCUGCUUCAGGUUGCCUCACCUUUGCUUCCAGCUGGACCGAACCAAUGUUCAUUUUACAUAUGCUGACUGACGUCUCAUGUAUCCCUAAAAUGUAUAAAACCAAACUGCUCUGAACACCCUGGGCACAUGUCAUCAGGACCUCCUGAGGCUGUGUCAUGGGUGCAUGUUCUCAACCUUGGCAAAAUAAACUUUGUAAAUUAACUGA